rnacentral:rRNA from 1 species
CCGCACAAGCGGUGGAGCAUGUGGUUAAUUCGAAGCAACGCGAAGAACCUUACCAGGUCUUGGCAUCCCCUGACAACCCGAGAGAUCGGGCGUUCCCCUUCGGGGGACAGGGUGACAGGUGGUGCAUGGUUGUCGUCAGCUCGUGUCGUGAGAUGUUGGGUUAAGUCCCGCAACGAGCGCAACCCUCGACCUUAGUUGCCAGCAUUCAGUUGGGCACUCUAAGGUGACUGCCGGCUAAAAGUCGGAGGAAGGUGGGGAUGACGUCAAAUCAUCAUGCCCCUUAUGACCUGGGCUACACACGUGCUACAAUGGGCGGUACAAAGGGUCGCGAACCCGCGAGGGGGAGCCAAUCCCAAAAAGCCGCUCUCAGUUCGGAUUGCAGGCUGCAACUCGCCUGCAUGAAGCCGGAAUCGCUAGUAAUCGCGGAUCAGCAUGCCGCGGUGAAUACGUUCCCGGGCCUU